UUUGGUUAAGUUAGAAAGGGCGCACGGUGGAUGCCUUGACACUAGGAGUCGAUGAAGGACGGGACUAACGCCGAUAUGCUUCGGGGAGCUGUAAGUAAGCUUUGAUCCGAAGAUUUCCGAAUGGGGAAACCCACCAUACGUAAUGGUAUGGUAUCCUUAUCUGAAUACAUAGGGUAAGGAAGACAGACCCAGGGAACUGAAACAUCUAAGUACCUGGAGGAAGAGAAAGCAAAUGCGAUUUCCUGAGUAGCGGCGAGCGAAACGGAACAUAGCCCAAACCAAGAGGCUUGCCUCUUGGGGUUGUAGGACAUUCUAUACGGAGUUACAAAGGAACGAGGUAGACGAAGCGACCUGGAAAGGUCCGUCGUAGAGGGUAACAACCCCGUAGUCGAAACUUCGUUCUCUCUUGAAUGUAUCCUGAGUACGGCGGAACACGUGAAAUUCCGUCGGAAUCUGGGAGGACCAUCUCCCAAGGCUAAAUACUCCCUAGUGAUCGAUAGUGAACCAGUACCGUGAGGGAAAGGUGAAAAGCACCCCGGAAGGGGAGUGAAAGAGAUCCUGAAACCGUGUGCCUACAAAUAGUCAGAGCCCGUUAACGGGUGAUGGCGUGCCUUUUGUAGAAUGAACCGGCGAGUUACGAUCCCGUGCGAGGUUAAGCUGAAGAGGCGGAGCCGCAGCGAAAGCGAGUCUGAAUAGGGCGUUUAGUACGUGGUCGUAGACCCGAAACCAGGUGAUCUACCCAUGUCCAGGGUGAAGUUCAGGUAACACUGAAUGGAGGCCCGAACCCACGCACGUUGAAAAGUGCGGGGAUGAGGUGUGGGUAGCGGAGAAAUUCCAAUCGAACCUGGAGAUAGCUGGUUCUCCCCGAAAUAGCUUUAGGGCUAGCCUUAAGUGUAAGAGUCUUGGAGGUAGAGCACUGAUUGGACUAGGGGUCCUCAUCGGAUUACCGAAUUCAGUCAAACUCCGAAUGCCAAUGACUUAUCCUUAGGAGUCAGACUGCGAGUGAUAAGAUCCGUAGUCAAAAGGGAAACAGCCCAGACCGCCAGCUAAGGUCCCAAAGUGUGUAUUAAGUGGAAAAGGAUGUGGAGUUGCUUAGACAACUAGGAUGUUGGCUUAGAAGCAGCCACCAUUUAAAGAGUGCGUAAUAGCUCACUAGUCGAGUGACUCUGCGCCGAAAAUGUACCGGGGCUAAAUACACCACCGAAGCUGCGGAUUGAUACCAAUGGUAUCAGUGGUAGGGGAGCGUUCUAAGGACAGUGAAGUCAGACCGGAAGGACUGGUGGAGUGCUUAGAAGUGAGAAUGCCGGUAUGAGUAGCGAAAGACGGGUGAGAAUCCCGUCCACCGAAUGCCUAAGGUUUCCUGAGGAAGGCUCGUCCGCUCAGGGUUAGUCAGGACCUAAGCCGAGGCCGACAGGCGUAGGCGAUGGACAACAGGUUGAUAUUCCUGUACCACCUCUUUAUCGUUUGAGCAAUGGAGGGACGCAGAAGGAUAGAAGAAGCGUGCGAUUGGUUGUGCACGUCCAAGCAGUUAGGCUGAUAAGUAGGCAAAUCCGCUUAUCGUGAAGGCUGAGCUGUGAUGGGGAAGCUCCUUAUGGAGCGAAGUCUUUGAUUCCCCGCUGCCAAGAAAAGCUUCUAGCGAGAUAAAAGGUGCCUGUACCGCAAACCGACACAGGUAGGCGAGGAGAGAAUCCUAAGGUGUGCGAGAGAACUCUGGUUAAGGAACUCGGCAAAAUGACCCCGUAACUUCGGGAGAAGGGGUGCUUUCUUAACGGAAAGCCGCAGUGAAUAGGCCCAAGCGACUGUUUAGCAAAAACACAGCUCUCUGCGAAGCCGUAAGGCGAAGUAUAGGGGGUGACACCUGCCCGGUGCUGGAAGGUUAAGGAGAGGGGUUAGCGUAAGCGAAGCUCUGAACUGAAGCCCCAGUAAACGGCGGCCGUAACUAUAACGGUCCUAAGGUAGCGAAAUUCCUUGUCGGGUAAGUUCCGACCCGCACGAAAGGUGUAACGAUUUGGGCACUGUCUCAACCAGAGACUCGGUGAAAUUAUAGUACCUGUGAAGAUGCAGGUUACCCGCGACAGGACGGAAAGACCCCGUGGAGCUUUACUGUAGCCUGAUAUUGAAUUUUGGUACAGUUUGUACAGGAUAGGCGGGAGCCUUUGAAACCGGAGCGCUAGCUUCGGUGGAGGCGCUGG
rnacentral:rRNA from 1 species